rnacentral:rRNA from 1 species
GUUCCUACGGGAGGCAGCAGUGGGGAAUAUUGGACAAUGGGGGAAACCCUGAUCCAGCGACGCCGCGUGGGCGAUGGAGUACUUCGGUAUGUAAAGACCUAUCAGCAGGGAAGAAAAUGACGGUACCUGACUAAGAAGCCCCGGCUAAAUACGUGCAAGCAGCCGCGGUAAUACGUAUGGGGCAAGCGUUAUCCGGAUUUACUGGGUGUAAAGGGGGCGUAGACGGCAGCGCAAGUCUGGAGUGAAAUGCCGGGGCUCAACCCCGGAACUGCUUUGGAAACUGUGCAGCUAGAGUGCGGGAGAGG